rnacentral:rRNA from 1 species
AGAGUUUGAUCCUGGCUCAGGAUGAACGCUGGCGGCGUGCCUAACACAUGCAAGUCGAGCGAGAAGUAAAGAAAUGAAGCUUCGGUAGAUUUUCAUUAUGGAAAGCGGCGGACGGGUGAGUAACGCGUAGGCAACCUGCCCUGUACAGGGGGAUAGCCACCCGAAAAGGUGAUUAAUACCCCAUGAUGCAAGAGAUACACAUGUAUCACUUGUCAAAGAUUUAUCGGUAUGGGAUGGGCCUGCGUCUGAUUAGCUAGUUGGUAGGGUAACGGCUUACCAAGGCAACGAUCAGUAGCCGACCUGAGAGGGUGAUCGGCCACAUUGGAACUGAGACACGGUCCAAACUCCUACGGGAGGCAGCAGUGGGGAAUAUUGCACAAUGGGGGAAACCCUGAUGCAGCAACGCCGCGUGAAGGAAGAAGGCCUUCGGGUUGUAAACUUCUGUCCUAGGGGAAGAAACAAAUGACAUUACCCUUGGAGGAAGCCCCGGCUAACUACGUGCCAGCAGCCGCGGUAAUACGUAGGGGGCGAGCGUUAUCCGGAAUUAUUGGGCGUAAAGAGUGCGUAGGUGGCAUCUUAAGCGCAGGGUUUAAGGCAGUGGCUCAACCAUUGUUCGCCUUGCGAACUGGGGUGCUUGAGUGCAGGAGGGGAAAAGUGGAAUUCCUAGUGUAGCGGUGAAAUGCGUAGAUAUUAGGAGGAACACCAGUGGCGAAGGCGACUUUCUGGACUGUUACUGACACUGAAGCACGAAAGCGUGGGGAGCAAACAGGAUUAGAUACCCUGGUAGUCCACGCCGUAAACGAUGAGCACUAGGUGUCGGGGUCGCAAGACUUCGGUGCCGCAGUUAACGCAUUAAGUGCCCCGCCCGGGGGGUACGCACGCAAGUGUAAAACUCAAGGAAUUGACGGGGACCCGCACAAGCAGCGGAGCCUGUGGUUUAAUUCGACCCACCGCGAAGAACCUUACCAAGACUUGA